GCCGGCAUAGCUCAGUUGGUAGAGCAGCUGAUUUGUAAUCAGGAGGUCCCGAGUUCGAUUCUUGGUGCCGGCAUCA
rnacentral:tRNA from 1 species